UACGUAGGGGGCUAGCGUUGUCCGGAAUCAUUGGGCGUAAAGCGCGUGUAGGCGGUCCGGUAAGUCCGCUGUGAAAGUCGGGGGCUCAACCCUCGGAUGCCGGUGGAUACUGUCGGGCUUGAGUACGGAAGAGGCGAGUGGAAUUCCUGGUGUAGCGGUGGAAUGCGCAGAUAUCAGGAGGAACACCGAUGGCGAAGGCAGCUCGCUGGGACGGUACUGACGCUGAGGCGCGAAAGCGUGGGGAGCGAACGGGG
rnacentral:rRNA from 1 species